rnacentral:lncRNA from 10 species
AAAAUACCAAAAUUAGCUGGGUGUGGUUGUGGGUGCCUGUAAUCCCAGCUACUUGGGAGGCUGAGGCAAGAGAAUCGUUUGAACCUGGGAGGCAGAGGUUGCAGUGAGCCAAGAUUGCACCAUUGCACUCCAGCCUGGGCAACAAGAGUGAAACUCCGUCUCAAAAAAAAAAAAAAAAAAAAAGAGGCAGAGUCUCACUGUGUUGCUGAGGCUGGUCUCAAACUCUUGGACUCAAGAGAUUCUCCCUCUUCUGCCUCCCUAAAUGCUGGGAUUACAGGUAUGAGCCACCGCGCCAGGCUGCAACUAUCUUUUUUGAGAGUAGACAGGCUGUUUUCUGGGCACUUUGGGUGAGAGGAGUUGCUGGGAACUGACCUGGGAAAGAAAGCAUCUUGUAGGAGGCCCCUCAACAGGAGCCCUUUGGAGCUUCUGAGGCAAAAACACGAAAAAGAGAAAUUGGCUGGGCAUGAUGGCUCAUGCCUAUAAUCCCAGCAUUUUGGAAGCCAAGGUGGGCAGAUCACCUGAGGUCAGGAGUUCGAGACUAGCCUGGCCAACGUGGUGAAACCCCAUCUCUACUAAAAAUACAAAAAUUAGCUGGUGUGGUGGCGGGCGCCGUAAUCCCACCUUCUCUGGAGGCUGAGGCAGGAGAAUUGCUUGAACCCGGGAGGCGGAAAUUGCAGUGAGCUAAGAUUGCACCAUUGCACUCCAGCCUGGGCCACAAGAGCAAAACACCAUCUCAAAUAAUAAUAAAUAAAUAAAUAGAUAGAUAGAUACCUGUGAAUGUCAAGAAAAUUAGGUACUGCAAUCAGCUUCAUUUCCAUCCUUGGGCUGUAGCCAGAGUUGUAUCAGAGGGAGAAGCCCUUGGGUGGCUUGUUUGUUUGUUUUGUUUUUUUGAGACAGUCCUGCACUAUUGCCCAGGCUGGAGCGCCGUGGCGCGAUCCCAGCUCACUGCAACCUCUGCCUCCCAGGUUCAAGUGAUUCUCCUGUCCCAGUCUCCCAAGUAGCUGGGAUUAUAGGCACCUGCCACCAUGCCCAGCUAAUUUGUUGUAUUUUUAGUAGAGACGGGGUUUCACCAUGUUGGCCAGGCUGGUCUCGAACUCCUGACCUCGUUGAUUCGCCCGGCUCAGCCUCCCAAAGUGCUGGGAUUACAGGCGUGAGCCACCACGCCUGGCCCUGUGUGGCUUUUUGGGCCUCAGGCCCAUAGGCCUCCCACCACAUCUGCCCCUGGGUAGCCACAUACAGUUCCAGGAACAUCUGAGGAGCCAAAGAUGUUGAUUGUUCCAGGGACAUGCUUGGAUGCUUGGGCUGUGUCACCCUCACCAAACCUGGCAGGAACACAGUAGUUAAUUUUUUUUUUUUUUUUUGAGAUGGAGUCUUGCUUUGUCGUCCACGCUGGAGUGCAGCGGCGUGAUCUCGGGUCACUCCGCCUCUUGGGUUCACGCCAUUCUCCUGCCUCAGCCUCCCGAGUAGCUGGGAUUACAGGCUCCUGUCACCAUGCCCGGCUAGUUUUUUGUAUUUUUAGUAGAGAUGGGGUUUCACCCUGUUAGCCAGGAUGAUCCUGAUCUCCUGAUCUCAUGAUCCACCUGCCUCAGCCUCCCAAAGUGCUGGGAUUACAGGCAUGAGUCACUGCACCCGGCCUAACUUUUUUUUUUAAGCCUUAGGAAUAAAUUAAGAAACAGUAUCUUUUUCUGAUGAUCCCCAGAGACAGGCAGUGUAAUUGUAAUUAA